UGUGUGUUAGUGGAAGCGUCUGGAAAGGCGCGCGAUACAGGGUGACAGCCCCGUACACAAAAAUGCACAUGCUGUGAGCUCGAUGAGUAGGGCGGGACACGUGGUAUCCUGUCUGAAUAUGGGGGGACCAUCCUCCAAGGCUAAAUACUCCUGACUGACCGAUAGUGAACCAGUACCGUGAGGGAAAGGCGAAAAGAACCCCGGCGAGGGGAGUGAAAAAGAACCUGAAACCGUGUACGUACAAGCAGUGGGAGCACGCUUAGGCGUGUGACUGCGUACCUUUUGUAUAAUGGGUCAGCGACUUAUAUUCUGUAGCAAGGUUAACCGAAUAGGGGAGCCGAAGGGAAACCGAGUCUUAACUGGGCGUUAAGUUGCAGGGUAUAGACCCGAAACCCGGUGA
rnacentral:rRNA from 1 species